rnacentral:rRNA from 1 species
CAGCAGCCCGGUAAUACAGAGGGGGCUAGCGUUGUUCGGAAUUACUGGGCGUAAAGCGCACGUAGGCGGCUUUGUAAGUUAGAGGUGAAAGCCCGGAGCUCAACUCCGGAAUUGCCUUUAAGACUGCAGAGCUAGCAGGUGAGAGAGGUGAGUGGAAUUCCGAGUGUAGAGGUGAAAUUCGUAGAUAUUCGGAAGAACACCAGUGGCGAAGGCGGCUCACUGGCUCAUACUGGACGCUGAGGUGCGAAAGCGUGGGGAGCAAACAGGAUUAGAUACCCCAGUAGUCCAUGUCUCUUAUACC